rnacentral:snoRNA from 1 species
UGAUGGUUGAUUUUCACUGCAGGGCUGACGUCCAUUGAUGUCCAUGGACCCCAAACUGAGU